rnacentral:rRNA from 1 species
AACCUCCGCAAUGUGAGAAAUCGCGACGGGGGGAUCCCAAGUGCCAUUCUUAACGGGAUGGCUUUUCAUUAGUGUAAAGAGCUUUUGGAAUAAGAGCUGGGCAAGACCGGUGCCAGCCGCCGCGGUAACACCGGCAGCUCUAGUGGUAACAAUUUUUAUUGGGCCUAAAGCGUCCGUAGCCGGUUUAAUAAGUCUCUGGUGAAAUCCUGCAGCUUAACUGUGGGAAUUGCUGGAGAUACUAUUAGACUUGAGACCGGGAGAGGUUGGAGGUACUCCCAGGGUAGAGGUGAAAUUCUGUAAUCCUGGGAGGACCGCCUGUUGCGAAGGCGUCUAACUGGAACGGUUCUGACGGUGAGGGACGAAAGUUAGGGGCGCGAACCGGAUUAGAUACCCGGGUAGUCCUAACUGUAAACGAUGCGGACUUGGUGUUGGGUGGCUUUGAGCUGUCCCAGUGCCGAAGGGAAGCUGUUAAGUCCGCCGCCUGGGAAGUACGGUCGCAAGACUGAAACUUAAAGGAAUU